rnacentral:lncRNA from 1 species
CUGGACGCCGCUCGCCUCAAGGCCACCGCCGUCGGACGCCACUGGUCUGGACUGGACGCCAGUCCCCGACGUCGCUCGACGCCCGCAUUCGCGACACUUGAGUCGUCGUUGCCCUGAAGACCCUGACUGACGUCCCUGCUCACUCCUCAGCGCCGGCCACCGUCGCCGAACGCCGCUGGACGCCAGUCCCCGACGUCGCUCGAGCCUCGACGCCCGCAUUCGCGAAUCGCCAGAAGCUGACCGACCUUGACCGACGUCCCUGCUCGUGACCCACGCCGCUCGCGCCAGAAGCCCCGACGCCCCUGCUGCUGCAACGAACCAGAAGCCACUGCUUCGCCAUUCCCGUUCGGCACCAGGUUCCCUCUCUCUCUCUCUCUCUCUCUCUCUCUCUCUCUCUCUCUCUGUGCAACUGAGCAUGCGUUCGUGAUUGCGCUUCAGUUCCGGCUCGCGCGCACUGCUUGGUGGGACCGAUUGUUUCGUAAUCGAUUGCAAGUGGGUGUUUAUCUGAUUGCCGAAACGCUUCGGGUGCUUGCGGAAUUUCUGGGUUCUACCUCUGCGGGGCUGGGUUUGCGCUUUGUAAUGGAACUUGUUGCAUGACUCAUUUUGGGCUUUUUUCCUUAUCGGAAGCUGAAACUCCGUUUUUGCGUUGUGGGUUCUUCUGGAAAAGAGAAAUUGGUUUAGUUGGUGAAGUGUUGACGCUUUCUCUGUGAGAGUCUCGCGCGUCCGGGUUGACUGCUUGGUGGGACCGAUUAUUUUGUAAUUGAUUUCAACUGGGGUGUUUAUCUGAUUACUGAAACGCUUCAGAUAGUUGCAGAAAUUUCGAGGGUCUGCCUCCGUGGGGCUCGUUCGUGCUUCCCAUUCUGCGUGUAAUGGAGCUUGUUGCAUGACCCCUUUUGGGCUUUUUUCCUUACUUGAAGCUGAAACUUCGUUUUGGGUUGUGGGUUCUUCGGGAAAAGAGAAAUUGGUUUAGUCGGUGAAGUGUUGAAAGCUUUCUCUUUCUCUGCAAGAGUCGUGCGCUUCUGGGUUGAGAUUAAUGAUGCCUUCCCUUAUUGAACUUUGAAUCCGAGUCUCGCAUUCCAUUGUUGUAUUGUUUAUCUUAUUACCGAAAUGCUUCAGGUACUUGCAGAAAUUUGAGGGUCUGCCUCUGCCAGGCUGGUUUUGCGCUUCCUUUUCCGCAUGUAAUGGAACUUGCUGAAUGAUCCCUUUUGGGCUUUCCUUAUUCGAAGCUGAAACUUUUUUUGCUUUGUGGGUUCUUUGGGAAAAGAAAAGUUGGUUUGGUUGGUGGAGUGUUGACGCUUCCCAGUUGAGAUUAGUGUUGUUUUCGCUUAUUGGACUUUGAAACCCGUGUCUUGCAUUCUGUUGUCGUUGUCUUGUUUUUCUGUAUCCUUUGUUGCGAUUUGGAUCUGAAUUUCUUCCGAUUGUAGUUUUUAAAACACAUGCUGGGACAACUGUAUGGCCACAAAUAAGGGCAUAUUUGAAUAAAUAUUUUGCAUUUGUAUUGAUAAUAUGAUAUAGUCCUAAAGUUGUGUAUUGAUUUGAUUUUUAGCAAUUGCUUGCAUAUUCUAUAACUCAAUUCACAUUAUGUUUUGAAUUUUCUAAUUAUAUUAUAUUAUUAUAACGUGACGUUAUAGUUUUUUUUUAUAACGUGCGCGCACGCUAUUUUUUUUUUUUUAUAACGUGCGCGUACGUUAUAUUUUUUUUGAUAACGUGCGCGUACAUUAUAAUUUUUUUUGAUAACGUGCGCGUACGUUAUAAUUUUUUUUGAUAAUGUGU